AUCACCUGGGGAUCUCGUUAAGAUGAAGAUCCUGAUUCUGCAGUCUGAGGGGAGAAUCUGCAUCUCUAACAAGCUCCCAGGUGAUGCUGA
rnacentral:pre_miRNA from 1 species